rnacentral:rRNA from 1 species
GUCGAAUACGCCACCCCGCCCCGAAGAAGCCCGAGGCAAAGAGAGCCUAUCGAACGCAGAGGAUAGGGAGAGAAGCAGCCAGACGCCCAUCGCUCGCUCCCUCUCCCUCCAAUGGCCGCGGCCAUGAGACCCUCCUCCCCCCCCUACCCUCUCCCGCCUCCCCCGACCUGCUCGUCCCGCCUCCCCCAGCUCCGCUGCUUCGUCGGCCUCCGGUGUUCCGCCCCUCGCGUCCAGGUCAGGAGGCAAUUAGACGCGGUUGCAGGAAUUGGCAGUGGUGCGCGUGGAUGCGGUGGACGAUUCAGAGCGCCUGCUUCCAGUGCGUCCCAGCCUUGUUAUAGCUCCAUCGUCAUUAGAAACGACAAUUCUCAAAAUGCCGAUUUUCCACGUAACUACUCCAAAAGGGAGAAGAAACCAUUUCCUAUACCAGUACUGGAGUUAAGGCGCCGAGCGAGACAGAGGAUGAAGGAAGCUGAAGGGAAGCCUAGGGGGCCGCCGCCACCUCCGAAAAAUGGAUUGCUGGUCCAGAGACUAAUACCAGAGGCAUACAGAGUGUACAACGCAAGAAUUUCGCUGAUCAACAACUUGAAGAGGCUGAUGAAAGUAGUACCAGUGAAAGGCUGCAAAUAUUGCGGUGAGAUACACGUUGGAUCUGUUGGACACCCUUUCAGAACAUGCCGAGGAAUGUCUUCUGAUAAACGUAAGGGAGAACAUGACUGGGGAAGUACUUUUGUUGAAGCUGUUUUCUUGCCAGUUGAAGCUUACCACCUAGAGGACCGUCUAGGCCCGCGUAUCCCUCAUGACCAGAGGUUUGAGGUGCCCCGCAUUCCUGCUCUUGUGGAGCUUUGCAUCCAAGCUGGUCUCGACCUCCCUGAGUACCCCACAAAGCGCCGAAGAAAGCCAAUUGUUAAGAUCGGAAGGAAAGAGUUUGUCGACGCAAAUGAAGAUGACCUGCCUGACCCGGAGCCUGACAAAUUUAAGGAGCCAAUUCUCGAAGAAGUAUCCGACGAUGAGAUUACCCCUCCGUCGAGCCCAGAGGAGACGGCUGCUCUUGCCGAGGAAACACUCAAAGUGUGGGAGACACUCCGGAACGGUGCCUUGAGGCUCAUGAAGAGGUAUUCAGUGAGGGUGUGUGGAUACUGUCCUGAGGUGCACAUUGGAGCGAGUGGUCAUAAAGCGCGCAACUGUGGAGCCUUCAAGCACCAGCAGAGGAAUGGACAGCAUGGAUGGCAGGCGGCGGUGCUCGAUGACCUAAUACCCCCUAGAUACGUCUGGCACAUGCCGGAAUCUGGGGAGUUGCAGAAGGAGCUCAAGAUCUUCUAUGGGCAGGCGCCGGCUGUCGUUGAGAUAUGCAUUCAAGGCGGCGCACAAGUGCCGGAGAAGUACAAAGCCACAAUGAGGCUAGAUAUAGGGAUUCCCUCCAGUUUGAAAGAGGCUGAAAUGGUCGUCUGAACAGAAAUGUGGUGUUUACGUUGUGUACGAUUGAGGUCAAGAAAACCGCAAGCUCCAUUCGUGCUGACCAUAGGUUCAUUAUUAUCUUACUCCAUGUAUAUAGCAGGAACUUAGCUUAGUCAGAUAAUCUGGUAAAUUUUGUCUGUUUCAGAUGCGAAUCAACAUUUACCAGAUGUUUCUUUGUCUGAGGAAUGUCAUGGCCAGUGGCCACUACUUACAACGAUGGAAUUGGGGCGCACAUGCUGAUGCUGAUAUGUGUCUUACGAUGCGGUGUGCUACAUGAACACUGUUGUGUCAAAUUCAGAACCAGUGCAGAAUCUAGUAUUUCUAGUUCAGAUUUUUUUUUCUUAAUGAAGUUCCACUACUUACUUUCAUGAAAUGAUCAGCCAAGUUUUUUAUUUUAUUUAAUAGUUUUCUAUCCUAUUAGUCGCUUUAAGCCUUUCAAUGGUGAGCGCUGUAGUACUAUUGAAAUUGAAAAUAAAUGAUAAUCGUAACUGCCUCGUAAGCUUGAUGGAAUAUUUUC